rnacentral:rRNA from 1 species
CCUACGGGUGGCAGCAGUGAGGAAUCUUGGUCAAUGGGCGUAAGCCUGAACCAGCCAAGUCGCGUGAGGGAUGAAGGUUCUCGGGGUCGUAAACCUCUUUUAUAGGGGAAUAAAGUGAAGGACGUGUCCCUUUUUGUAUGUACCUGAUGAAUAAGCCACGGCUAACUACGUGCCAGCAGCCGCGGUAAUACGUAGGGGGCAAGCGUUGUCCGGAUUUACUGGGGGUAAAGGGAGUGUAGGCGGGUGCUUAAGUCAGAUGUGAAAGCUAUGGGCUCAACCCACAGACUGCAGUUGAUACUGGCAGUCGUGAGUGCUGGAGAGGCAAGCGGAAUUCGGGGUGUAGCAGUGAAAUGCGUAGAUAUCAGGAGGAACACCCGUGGCGAAGGCGGAUUGCUGGACAGUAACUGACGCUGAGGCGCGAAAGCGUGGGGAGCAAACAGGAUUAGAUACCCUAGUAGUC